rnacentral:misc_RNA from 1 species
ACAAACUUGGUCAUUUAGAGGAAGUAAAAGUCGUAACAAGGUCUCCGUAGGUGAACCUGCGGAGGGAUCAUUAACGAGAGACCCCUCACGGGGUCCCAUCCCACACACACUCCGUGGAACAAGGUCAGAGUGGUUCGGCGCUCCUCUGGGGAGCCGCCUCACAAAUGCUUGUUGGCUUGUCGUUGUCUGACGUGUCGAAAUAUGAUCUUUAAAACUUUCAACAACGGAUCUCUUGGCUCUCGCAUCGAUGAAGAACGCAGC